GAUGAACGCUGGCGGCGUGCCUAAUACAUGCAAGUCGAGCGAACAGACGAGGAGCUUGCUCCUCUCACGUUAGCGGCGGACGGGUGAGUAACACGUGGAUAACCUACCUAUAAGAGUGGGAUAAGUUCGGGAAACCGGAGCUAAGACCGGAUAAUAUAUUGAACCGCAUGGUUCAAUAGUGAAAGACGGUUUUGCUGUCCCCUAUAGAUAGCUCCGUGCUGGAUUGGUUAGUUGGUAAGGUAACGGCUUACCAAGGCAACGAUGCGUAGCCGACCGGGGAAGGUGAUCGGCCACUCGGGAAGUGGGACACCGUCCAGGCUCCGACGGAAGGCACCGGUACCGAAUCUACGGAAAAGGGCGAAAGCCUGAAGGAGCAGCGCAAGGUGAAUGAUGAAGGGCUUCGGAUCGUAAAACUCUGUUAUUAUGGAAGAACAAAUGUGUAAGGGACGAAGCUCUUCUUGACGGUACCUAGUCAGAAAGCCACGGCUAACUACGUG
rnacentral:rRNA from 1 species